rnacentral:rRNA from 1 species
UACGUAGGGGGCAAGCGUUAUCCGGAUUUACUGGGUGUAAAGGGAGCGUAGACGGCGAGACAAGUCUGAAGUGAAAUGCCAGUGCUCAACACUGGAACUGCUUUGGAAACUGCCUGGCUGGAGUGCGGGAGAGGUAAGUGGAAUUCCUAGUGUAGCGGUGAAAUGCGUAGAUAUUAGGAGGAACACCAGUGGCGAAGGCGGCUUACUGGACCGUAACUGACGUUGAGGCUCGAAGGCGUGGGGAGCAAACA